GGUUUCUUGGUGUUUAAUAUUAUAAGAAAUCUGACCUGCCCUAUGAGAUUUAAAUGGCCGCAGUAUUUUGACUGUGCAAAGGUAGCAUAAUCAAUUGUCUAUUAAUUGUAGACUAGAAUGAAUGGUUGGACUUAAAAUUGAUUGUCUUUAUUGCAAUAUGAAAUUUGUAUUUUUAUGAAGAUUUAAAGAUGAGAUUAAAAGACGAGAAGACCCUAUUGAGCUUUAUAUUUAAUUUAUAAUAAUUUGUAGGGAGAGUGAUGGUUAAAAUAUUUUACUGGGGCGGUAAUUAUUAAUAAUAACAUUAUUUAAAUAUUAAACUAGUUAGUGAUUAAAGAUCCAAUAGUAUUGAUUAUUAGACUAAGUUACUGUAGGGAUAACAGCGUAAUUUUGUUUAAGAGCUCAAAUCUAUGACGAAGAUUGCGACCUCGAUGUUGGUUURGGAUACCUUUAACUGGUGCAGUAACUGUAGAAGGUAGUCUGUUCGACUAUUAAAAUCCUAUA
rnacentral:rRNA from 1 species